UACGAAGGGGGCUAGCGUUGUUCGGAAUCACUGGGCGUAAAGGGCGCGUAGGCGGCUUUAUAAGUCGGGGGGUGAAAGCCUGUGGCUCAACCACAGAAUUGCCUUCGAUACUGUAGAGCUUGAGACCGGAAGAGGUAAGUGGAACUGCGAGUGUAGAGGUGAAAUUCGUAGAUAUUCGCAAGAACACCAGUGGCGAAGGCGGCUUACUGGUCCGGUUCUGACGCUGAGGCGCGAAAGCGUGGGGAGCAACAGG
rnacentral:rRNA from 1 species